AAAUGAAUAGACGGGGACCCGCACAAGCGGUGGAGCAUGUGGUUUAAUUCGAAGCAACGCGAAGAACCUUACCAAGGUUUGACAUCCCCCUGAACAGAUUAGAAAUAGUUUGGGCCUUUCGGGGACAGGGGAGACAGGUGGUGCAUGGUUGUCGUCAGCUCGUGUCGUGAGAUGUUGGGUUAAGUCCCGCAACGAGCGCAACCCUUAUGAUAAGUAGCCAGCGGGUAAAGCCGGGGACUCUGGUCAGACUGCCGUGGAUAACACGGAGGAAGGCGGGGACGACGUCAAAUCAUCAUGCCCCUUAUAUCUUGGGCUACACACGUGCUACAAUGGACCAAACAAAGUGAGGCGAAGCGGCAACGCGGAGCAAAACACAAAAAAGGGUUCUCAGUUCGGAUCGCGGCCUGCAACCCGGCCGCGUGAAGUUGGAAUCGCUAGUAAUCGCGGAUCAGAACGCCGCGGUGAAUACGUUCCCGGGUCUUGUACACACCGCCCGU
rnacentral:rRNA from 1 species